rnacentral:lncRNA from 1 species
ACUUACUGCAACAGAUGAGGGGCUCUUAAACCAUCUGUUAACCUUUCUUUCUCCUUUUUUUAACCAUGUAGAGUCGCUCAAGGCAAGAAGACCCAGAGACAGCAAGACUGAAACAAAAAGCAAAGGAGGUGCCUGCUUCCUAGAAGUGGCAGCUGUGCCUGACUAAUUGAGUUGCAGUAAACCCAGUUGUCCAGAAACAGUGAGAAUGCUUCUCAGGGCAGGAGCAAAAGGCCAGCAUUAGGAGAAGACCUGUUCUGGGGACAGUUAGACCCUGCUGCCCCAGCUCUCACCACAUCCCCCGUGAGGAUGCAUCUGGAAGGAGGAGGUAAGAAGGCUCUCGACAAGGCUGCACUCAGGCUGCUUACUCAGCCGAGAGUAAUGCUGCAGGGGGAGGGCA